rnacentral:rRNA from 1 species
GACGAACGCUGGCGGCGUGCUUAACACAUGCAAGUUGAACGGUUCAGCCUAAGUAGCAAUAUGAGGGUUGGAUAGUAGCGGACGGGUGAGUAACGCGUGAGCAACCUACCUUUGUGAGGGGGACAACAGCUGGAAACGGCUGCUAAUACCGCAUAAGGCCACGGUGUCGAUUGACACUGAGGUAAAAGAUUUAUCGCACAAAGAUGGGCUCGCGUCCCAUUAGCUAGUUGGUGAGGUAACGGCCCACCAAGGCGACGAUGGGUAGCCGACCUGAGAGGGUGAUCGGCCACACUGGAACUGAGAUACGGUCCAGACUCCUACGGGAGGCAGCAGUGGGGAAUAUUGGGCAAUGGGCGCAAGCCUGACCCAGCAACGCCGCGUGAGGGAAGAAGGUUUUCGGAUUGUAAACCUCUGUCCUUGGGGACGAAAAAAAUGACGGUACCUAAGGAGGAAGCUCCGGCUAACUACGUG